UGUGUCACCGAGCGGGGUAGUUUGGGGAUUUCGUUGCUCUCCACCCAAUCCCCACUUCCAUCGCCUUCCCCAAUCCCCGCGUCGUCCUCUCUCCCCAAUCCCCGCAGGCCGCAGCUCGGAUGGAAACCCUAGCCGCCGGGCUGCGAAUAAUCGCGCGUCCACCGUACCUACCCGUCUCCACCUCUCCUUGGAACCGCCGGCGCGGGCGACGGGCGGCGCGGCCGAACUACAGCAGGGGCGGCGCGGCGCGGCCAACCUACAGCAGGGGCGGCGCGGCGCGGCCAACCUACAGCAGGGGCGGCGCGGCCAACCUACAACAGGGGUGGCGCGGCCGGUCUCCCCAGGGACGACGGAGGAGGGCAACGCGCGCGACAGGGGCCAGCGCGGGAGGGUGGCGGGUGCGACCUUCGCCAGUGGCCGGACAAGAGAGGAGGAUCUCAAGUACUGUCGCCACCACCCAUGGUCUGCUCUUCCCCUUUUUCUCUCCUCAUCGCCAAGAUUGAAGAGUGGGCUGGCAGGCUGAACGACGCUGCUCAUCCAAUCCGCUCGCGGUCUCGCUGGGCAGGAGGAGGCCGAGAUGCAGCCGGGUUGCCUCCUCGCUCUCCUCUUCCCCAAUCCCCCGUGCCUCUCCUCCUCUAGCUCUUUGGCCCCUUCUCCACUGCCACCCAUCUCCCAAUUUUCUCCAUGGCUGGAACAUGGAGAGGCAGAGGAAAGCAAAGCACCAUGGAUGCGGAGGCAGAGCUCGACGUUGAGGAGCAACUCCCCUCCGUCUAGGAUCUACAGCAGUUUUUCAAUGGUGAGUUGGUGCUACUGGUGGUGAGGGGCACGAAGACGGAGUACUUGGUGGAUCUGUAGUUGUACUACAUCACCGAAUCCUUGGUGUUGGUCGUCAUGGAAAAACACAUCUAGAGGUGAUUAGCAAGGUAUGUUGACUCUUGCUGUGCAUAAGGGGCCAGAGGUCUCUCCACGAUUUGAGACAUACUAGAAAAUUCCAUGGUCGAUCAAGAGCAGCGAUGUUGUGUUGAUGAAGAGCAGGGUCAUCAGGGUGUUCAGGAUGCCAUCAAAUUAUCUCAAGUUCUAGAUUGGUGUUCUUGCAGCUCUAGAUUGUCACCCACUGGGUGGAGCUCGGUUAACCAUGGAUUUGCGGCAAGAAGAACUCACGCCAAGAUUAAUUUGUUGUUAAUGAUGUCCUGCUGGCUCAGCUCUUCUCCACGGUAUUCUCAUGGCCGGCCUAAGGUACAAGCGGAUACCAGCAGCACUGGGGCUCAUACUGGUCAGCCAGGUCCUGGCAGUGCCCAGGGACAAAGCAUCGAUGACGGCAAACUUGCUGACUCUGCACUGUCCUAGAAUUUAGGGUGGAAGCCGCAUAGGUUUGUCUGACAUUGAUGAUUGAUAGAUCUUUAUCUGUUAUAUCCCUUUGUUGAACACGCGCAUUUGUUUUUUACCUUUUGCAUUCAGGUUCCCAUCAUACUACUAAUUCUUACAUUUUAAUAUUUCUCUGUAAGAAGGUGGAACGACAAUGCUGUAGAAGUAUGAUAAAGAUGUGUCUAACAAACAACUCCGCUUUAUCCUUUACGUCCACACAGUAAGUGUUCUCCUUAAUUUAGCUCUUGCAAACGAGAGCAAGUCGAGUAGUCUGCUAGCUUUCUCAGUUUUUCAAUUUGUGUAGUGAAGAAGAUUAAGAAGUUUCUAAUUCGUAUUUACCUCACAGACACUCAUUUUCUAUUUUGCUAAAUUUUCAUUACUAAAGGAGGUGCAUCAUUAUUUUUUGUUUUCCUUAGUUAGGUUCAUUCUUCAGUGUCAUUGAUAUGAUUUGGCUCAAAACAGUCCAUGGUAAAGAUGGUUUUAUGUUGCUUUGUACAUGUGACAUGGGAAACCAACGAGGAAAGCUCACUUCUGGUGGUGAUGCUCUAAUAUCAUGGGGCAAGUGAUUCUUCUCUUUUGCUUCUGGCAUUGUCUUCUUUGAAUCCUCCUUAUCUAUUGUACUUAGGAUGGGGGAGGGACACGUAUAUGCUGAUGUGACGGUUGUGGUCAUCCUGUACAUUUGCAGCCUCACCUCUACACAACCUCCUACAUUUGACCAUGCAAUUCAUGUCCACUUUGUCCAGGGCUGUUACCUUUUCCUUUUAAUUUAUUUAGCAGAUGUGAACAUCCUUGGUUAUAUUUGUUUGCCAAAAAUUAAUCCCCAAACCUUCUUGUUUCGUUUGUGCAGAUUUCUUUUGAAGAAGUACAUGUGUGUUCUAGCUUGGUGGACAUUAGCCCAAGAUCUGGAAGAAAUCAAGAGAUAACCAAUUGAUGUUGUGGAUGACAUCUAAGGUUGUAGCUAUUGCAUAUAGGACAGUCAGCCACACUAUUGAUAUCUCCAUCAUUGCCAGUACCGCCUGCCCUGUUGUCAUGAAUUAUAUGCAGUCACAUUAUUUGCUGAAAUUGGUCCAACCUGGACAUAGCAUGAUGCACCGAGGAGGUACACGACCACCGGUGUCCGUCUCGUCUGAUGUUCUCGAUAUAGAGAAUACAUCUAUGCAGCAACCCUAGGUAUGCCAUUUCUUAUGUUGUUCUCCCUAGAGCCUUCAUCCGCGGUCAAUGGUGCACUAAACUGGCACACUGUAGGAGCAGAUAUGGGCCAUGAAAUCGAGAUUUUCUUUGGCAUAUAGUUAGGCUAUGCUUUUAGGAGAUAUAAAUGUUCUCCUGAAAUUUUAGUUCCACAUAACUAUUAUUAAUUAUCAUAUGAAGGAGAGGUACUUGUGGUAAUGAUUUUUUUUGUUAGUUGUUUGCAUCAAAAAAUAUAAUGAUGGACUGCUAUCUUAAUAGGCCCUUCAGACAGGUGAAUAGUUUUUCCUGUACAGUUGACAAGUAAUUUCUUUGGUUAUAGCAGUAAGAAGUGCAUGAGACAGAGAUAAUCAUGUUGAAUUGGCACUGCCACAUCAGGCAGCUAUAUUCACCACAAGUUAUGAAUCUAUUUCCUCAAGUGUCAUCGAUUAAUUUCCUAACAAAGCUAUUACUGCAACAACAGUUUUCUUUCGGUUCCGAAUUAUUAUUCCACGGUGUUCAAGUUGGUUUCAUACCAGGAAGACAUGUAAUGUUUUAAGUUUCUAACGUCAGUAGAAAAUGAUUCAAAACUUUUCUAUUAAUUUUCUGGAUGGCUUUUGUCGUGUUCUCGAGCUAACUCGGUUGAUCUGGUUAAUGCAUGUACAACGGCAAAUGAGAAUUAAAAUUUCAUUAUUUUUUGCAUGGAAUGAUUCAUAUCAAUAUGACAAGGAUACAUGCAACUUAGAUAACUAUUUGCUAUAUGCAAUGCUAUUGGGAGACCAAGCACUAUGCCAGCUCUCUUAAAAAAGCAUAGUACCAUGCCAGCAAAUUAGAUGGUGACGUAUUGAUUCAGGUGAACCAAUUACUAGAACUGUCUUUUACUCAGCCUUCAUAGUUUUGGUGUUUUACAAAGUACAACACGGGCUACAUUUACCUUGCUAUUACAGCUGCCAGAUGGAGCAAAGCUUUUUUCUAGAAAAAGUUAUCGUGCUGCAUACUUGUGAGUUAAUGUUGUUUCAUGUCCUUCCUUGGGAGGAUCUAUUUUGAAUCCACCAAACUAGAUGAGCAGUUUUCCUCUCUUUCUGUAUGCCCCUUAUGCUGAUGCCCCAAUCAAAGAAUGGAAUUUUCUGUAUCCCCUAAUGUACGAGUUACUGUUUAGUGCAAGGUUGCCUCAGAUCUUCAUUUGUCUACUGCAUUGCUUAUUCAUUUCCUAUUUAUUAUAUGUGUAAGUAUAAGCUGGACAUUGGAACCGAUAAUCUGAAGUUGUAUUUAUGUAUUUCACAUUCACGUGCAUCAUGCUUUCCAUGCCUCUACUCCUCAUCUUGAUAUGCAGUUAAGGUAUUGGUUUGCUGCCUUUUCUUUCAAAAUGGAUCUCUUUUUAUGUACUCUGAUUUUGUGAUGUUUUCUUCUAUUUAUAUCUGUUAGGGCACGUGUUCUUGAGGUUAAUUCUGGUAAAAUCUUCGAACGUAAGGAUAGAGCAACUUACUGAUCGAUACCUCAGAAAAGCACCAUAGGGAAGCUACUCAUUUAGGAUUCUUCUCCAACUCAUUUUGUAUUAUUGUUUUGUUCAGUCAAGGAACAACUCCAACAUCAUGUACAUGUUCACUGAAUAGAAACUUGUCAUGGCUUGCUGAGAGCUGGAGUAAGCUGGAGCUGGAGCAAAAAAUGUUUAGAGCCCCUUACAGCUCUCUGCACCACAUGUACUCCCUCUGAUGUAAACGUGUUGAUGGUUUAAUAAAAAAAGUCAACUUCAGGUCAGGACCCCUCUUUGUUCAGGUCACCAUUAAAAGGCAAUAUAUGCUAGAAUGGGAAUUGAAGGUUCUCGUGAUGGUGCAUACUUCUCGAAUUACAUCAUGUGAAAUGGAGGAAAGCAUCCCAACGACGAGCUGUGAUUUGAUCCGUCACUCCACCUCCCUCCACGGUUCGUAUCCUAGGAUUGUUUCAGUUUCAGCUCCAUAAUGGGGCCCGGAGGCCCAUAACCCAUGCAGUAUUUAUCUUCGUCAAUACUUCCACCUUCUAGCUCACAAAAAAGUACUUCCACCUAUUUCUUUCGUUGUCCACUAAAUCUGCCACCGCAGGCGUCGCCUAGGUGCAAAACAGAUCAGCUGGUCUUCUACGGCAGCGGCCGACACAUGCAGGCCUUGCCGGCAUCCAUCACAAGCUCCCAGCAACUAGGUCCAACAUCUUCGCGUCAAGCGUCGUACAUGCUCUUCCCAUGUGAAUCUAGCCUCCGACGGGAAAAGAUAAUCAAGUACCCAUGAAGAUUACGCCAAUAUGCCCUGGAUUUUGUGUCCCACUUUUAAAACUGACAGACUACUAUAGUAUACGGACAAUGGUUCUUUCUUAGCAUGAUUGUUUCAAAGAUGAAUCAGCCAAUUACUUUGCAGCUAUGUUUUUGAAAAAUAAGAGUAUAACAGUGUUCACGAAAUCAAGUGGAAGUAGUUUCUGGAUAUCUUAUGGAAGGUAGAUAUCAACAUAUUCUAGCUGUUACACAGCUACCUAAAUGUUCAACGGCAUAUGAUUUCCUUUAAUGAUGAUAAGGACUGGCAUUGCUUCCAUAGCUGAAGCGUAGGUUUCAGCUAUAGUAGGAACAGUUGGAGUAGCUACGACCAGGCAUGCAUGGGAUAUUGCUCGGUUUAUGAAGAUCGAUCCUGCACUUGGUUUUAUGCCCAGUAAACUUUUGCUGGAGACCAUUUCAGGUGACAAGGUGCCCGCAAAGGCGAUCCAAAAUUUGAUGAAGAUGAUUUUUCCGCUUAAUGUGCAGUGGAAGUGGGAGGCUGUUGCACAUGGGGAUGACGCUUUCCUCAUUGGGUUCCCUUCGGCGGAAGAUCUUCAGCGUUGACGGGUUUCAGAUGGGUGUACCGGCCCACAAGGCUACAACUUCGGUCACGAUCUGGAAGGUUCAGGAUAUUCAGCAUAAGUCGGAGCUGAAGCCGGUUUGGGUGCAUGUGGAGGGGAUUCCAUAUACAAUGAGACACUUCCAUGGUCUUUGGGAGGUCGGGACUCUUCUUGGUGUUCCGCUAGAUGUUGAUCUUGUCACUUUGCGGAGUCGAGGGGUGGUGCGUAUACAUGUGGCUAUGGUCAAUCUGAAGGCUCUGGAGGGGUAGGUUGAUGAUACGGGUCCUUUCCUUGCUGUGGCGUGUGCUGUCAAGUUGAAAUUAUUUGGCUUUGUUUUCCGUCGGGAGCUAGCUGACUUUGUUGCGGAUCCAUCUUUCAUCCCUUUUUUCUGGAGGCGGAAGGGUGAUGAUGUGGUGCAGAGGACAAUGACAAAGAUCACGGUUCAUCUGGUCCUUCGGAGGCGACAAUGUCCGAAGCGUCUAAUAUGGAUGUGGCACCUCUAUGCCUUCUUCCUUGGCAAAUAAAGGAAAGACGGUGACAGAUUCUCCUAUUCUAUGUUCGGUCAUUACUCCUUAUAAUGCUAAUCCGAGGACUCCGAGAGGCAUGGAAAUUGAUGAGAGGGUCCAUAAGAUUUCUCCUCAGCUCGCCAGUAGGGCUACGUGCUACCUAUGGAGAUGGAGUUUGGGUCUCCUGUGUCUACAGGGGAUGCUCACGAGGUGGUCGGGGUGGAGACGCCACCUGCUACUUUCCGGUCUUCGCUAUCGGCACUGGUGGAGGUGGCAGAGAGGGGGGCGGAUGCACCUUUGUCCCCCUCUGCGGUUCCUACGGUGAUGGAGGGGGGCUGCUACUUCACCUGUGCCCCCCUACGCAGGUUCAACGGUGGUGGUGGAGGGGGCUGCUACUCCGACAAUGCCUCCUCCUACCGCCAUGCAUGGUUGCAGAUUCGGCUUCGGUGACGAUGUUGGUGGGUUCAGAAGUGUAGUUUAUGCCGACCAAGGUCGUAGUGUUUGGUUUUUCAAUCCGCCUGAUGGUUGUGGUAUCCCUGUAUCUGUUAGGGAUUAAUAAAGGCGGAUAUGAUUUA